rnacentral:rRNA from 1 species
GACGAACGCUGGCGGCGUGCUUAACACAUGCGAGUCGAACGGAAAGGCCCUGCUUUUGUGGGGUGCUCGAGUGGCGAACGGGUGAGUAACACGUGAGUAACCUGCCCUUGACUUUGGGAUAACUUCAGGAAACUGGGGCUAAUACCGGAUAGGAGCUCCUGCUGCAUGGUGGGGGUUGGAAAGUUUCGGCGGUUGGGGAUGGACUCGCGGCUUAUCAGCUUGUUGGUGGGGUAGUGGCUUACCAAGGCUUUGACGGGUAGCCGGCCUGAGAGGGUGACCGGCCACAUUGGGACUGAGAUACGGCCCAGACUCCUACGGGAGGCAGUAGGGGGGAAUAUUGCACAAUGGGCGGAAGCCUGAUGCAGCAACGCCGCGUGCGGGAUGACGGCCUUCGGGUUGUAAACCGCUUUCGCCUGUGACGAAGCGUGAGUGACGGUAAUGGGUAAAGAAGCACCGGCUAACUACGUG